rnacentral:rRNA from 1 species
UGGGGAAUUUUGGACAAUGGGCGUAAGCCUGAUCCAGCCAUGCCGCGUGCGGGAAGAAGGCCUUCGGGUUGUAAACCGCUUUUGUCAGGGAAGAAACGCUCUGGGCUAAUACCCUGGGGUAAUGACGGUACCUGAAGAAUAAGCACCGGCUAACUACGUGCCAGCAGCCGCGGUAAUACGUAGGGUGCAAGCGUUAAUCGGAAUUACUGGGCGUAAAGCGUGCGCAGGCGGUUAUGCAAGACAGAUGUGAAAUCCCCGGGCUCAACCUGGGAACUGCAUUUGUGACUGUAUAGCUAGAGUACGGUAGAGGGGGAUGGAAUUCCGCGUGUAGCAGUGAAAUGCGUAGAUAUGCGGAGGAACACCGAUGGCGAAGGCAAUCCCCUGGACCUGUACUGACGCUCAUGCACGAAAGCGUGGGGAGCAAACAGGAUUAGAUACCCUCGUAGUCCCUGAGCGGGCUGGCAAGGCGCAU